AUUGAACGCUGGCGGCAGGCCUAACACAUGCAAGUCGAGCGGACGACGGGAGCUUGCUCCUUGAUUCAGCGGCGGACGGGUGAGUAAUGCCUAGGAAUCUGCCUGGUAGUGGGGGACAACGUUUCGAAAGGAACGCUAAUACCGCAUACGUCCUACGGUAGAAAGCAGGGGACCUUCGGGCCUUGCGCUAUCAGAUGAGCCUAGGUCGGAUUAGCUAGUUGGGGAGGUAAUGGCUCACCAAGGCGACGAUCCGUAACUGGUCUGAGAGGAUGAUCAGUCACACUGGAACUGAGACACGGUCCAGACUCCUACGGGAGGCAGCAGUGGGGAAUAUUGGACAAUGGGCGAAAGCCUGAUCCAGCCAUGCCGCGUGUGUGAAGAAGGUCUUCGGAUUGUAAAGCACUUUAAGUUGGGAGGAAGGGCAGUAAGUUAAUACCUUGCUGUUUUGACGUUACCGACAGAAUAAGCACCGGCUAACUCUGUGCCAGCCGCCGCCGUAAGAC
rnacentral:rRNA from 1 species